GUAGUGCCUCUUUCAGGAGCUCUUGUAAAGCAGGCCUGGUGGUGACAAAAUCUCUGAGUACUUGCUUGUUCACAAAGGAUUUUAUUUUUCCUUCACUUCUGAAGCUCAGUUUGGCUGGAUAUGUAAUUCUGGGUUGAAAGUUCUUUUCUUUAAGGAUGUUGAAUAUUGGCCCCCACUCUCUUCUGGCUUGCAGAGUUUCUGCCGAGAGAUCUGCUGUGAGUCUGAUGGGCUUCCCUUUGUGGGUGACCCGACCUUUCUCUCUGGCUGCCCUUAGUAUUUUCUCCUUUAUUUCAACCUUGUUGAAUAUUGGCCCCCACUCUCUUCUGGCUUGUAGUGUUUCUGCCGAGAGAUCUGCUGUGAGUCUGAUGGACUUCCCUUUGUGGGUAACUCGACCUUUCUCUCUGGCUGCCCUUAGUAUUUUCUCCUUUAUUUCAACCUUGUUGCAUCUGACGAUUAUGUGCCUUGGGGUUGCUCUUCUUGCAGAAUAUCUUUGUGGUGUUCUCUUUAUUUCCUGCAUUUGAGUGUUGGCCUGUCUUGCUAGGUGGGGGAAAUUUUCCUGGAUGAUGUCCUGAAGAGUAUUUUCCAGCUUGGAUUCAUUCUCUUCGUCCCCUUCUGGUACACCUAUCAAACGUAGGUUUGGUUUUUUCACAUAGUCCCACAUUUCUUGGAGACUUUGUUCAUUCCUUUUUGUGCUUUUUUCUCUAAUCUUGGUUUCUCGUUUAAUUUCAUUGAGUUGGUCUUCGACUUCAGAUAUUCUUUCUUCUGCUUAGUCAAUUCGGCUAUUGAAACUUGUGCAUGCUUCGUGAAGUUCUCGUAUUGUGUUUUUCAGCUCCUUUAAUUCAUUCAUAUUCCUCUCUAAGUUAUCCAGUCUUGUUAUCAUUUCCUCAUAUCUUUUUUUAAGUUCCUUAGUUUCUUUGCAUUGAUUUAAUACAUGUUCUUUUAUCUCACAAAAGUUUCUCAUUAUCCACCUUCUGAAGUCUAAUUCCGUCAUUUCGUCACAGUCAUUCUCCGUCCAGCUUUGUUCCCUUGCUGGUGAGGAGUUUUGGUCCUUUCUAGGAGGUGAGGUGUUCUGGUUUUGGGUGUUUUCCUCCUUUUUUCGCUGGUUUCUUCCCAUCUUUGUGGGUUUAUCCGCUUGUCGUCUGCGUAGUUGCUGACUUUUCGAUUGGUUCUCUGAGUGGACACCCAGAUUGUUGAUGAUGAAGUAUUUCUGUUACUUGGUUUUCCUUCUACCAGCCUAGCCCCUUCGCUGUACGUCUGCUGAGGUCCACUCCAGGCCCUGCUUGUCUGGGGUACACCUCUAGCAGCUGUGGCACAGUGAGGGAUGCUACCCGUUUCUUUUUCUGCUAUCUUUGUUCCAGGAUGAUGCCUGCCAAAUGUCAGUCUUUUGGAUAUAGAGGGGUCAGGGAGCUGCUUGAGGAGAC
rnacentral:lncRNA from 13 species